rnacentral:rRNA from 1 species
UGGAUACUGUGGCAUUCUAGAGCUAAUACAUGCACGCAGGCUCGGACCUUUUGGGAAGAGCGCAUUUAUUAGACCAAAACCAAUCGGGCUUCGGCCUGUGUUUUGGUGACUCUGAAUAACUAAGUCGAUCGCACAGUCCUAGUACUGGCGAUGUAUCUUUCAAGUGUCUGCCUUAUCAACUUUCGAUGGUACGCUAUACGCCUACCAUGGUAGUAACGGGUAACGGAGAAUAAGGGUUCGACUCCGGAGAGGGAGCCUGAGAAACGGCUACCACAUCCAAGGAAGGCAGCAGGCGCGCAAAUUACCCACUUCCAGAACGGAGAGGUAGUGACGAAAAAUAACGAGACAGUCCUCUUCGAGGUCUGUCAUCGGAAUGGGUACAAUUUAAAUCCUUUAACGAGGAUCUAUUGGAGGGCAAGUCUGGUGCCAGCAGCCGCGGUAAUUCCAGCUCCAAUAGCGUAUAUUAAAGUUGUUGCGGUUAAAACGCUCGUAGUUGGAUCUGCGACCUCGAAGAACGGUCCCCCGAAAGGGUGGUCACUGUCUCUUCUAGUCUAAAUUCAAGUUGUCUUUAGGUGCUCUUUAUUGAGUGCUUAGAGCGACUAGAACGUUUACUUUGAAAAAAUUAGAGUGCUUAAAGCAGACGAAAUAGUCUGAAUAAGGUGCAUGGAAUAAUGGAAUAGGAUCUCGGUUCUAUUUUGUUGGUUUUCGGAGCCCGAGAUAAUGAUUAAGAGGAACAGACGGGGGCAUUCGUAUUUCGGCGCUAGAGGUGAAAUUCUUGGACC